AGAUCAUAGAUGGAUAAACCGCCUUGGCAACCAGAUUUUCAUCCAUUUCAUUUAAGUUCUCUGUGGUCACUUGAAGUUUUGUGCAGAAUCAGAGUCAAACUUCUACAUUUGAAUCUGCUGAAGAAAGAUAUUUCCCCAGAGAAACUACUUGUCUUGUUCCUUAUAAUGAACUGGUAAUGUCACCAGUGAAAACUUCAGUUUGAGUCUGAUGUGAAAUGAAAGAUGGGAAAUAAAUAUUUCUGUUUGGAAAUAAAGAAGAAGAAGAAAAAGGCUGCUGUUCAGGGGAAAUUACGUUUUGCUGUAUAUUCAGUGUAUCAUGAAGUUGGACUCCAGGCAAAGAGGUAGUUGAAAGCAAAGGCUCAGUUUC